CAGCGAUAUUGGAAAAGGAGUAUCUCUGGGUACGUUCCAGAACAGAGCUAGCUUGUAUAGCGAUCCGUCUAUUUGUCUGGUUUUGUCGAUAAGUAUAAUUGUUGAGGAAUAUAUAUCACCUUAUAUGCAUUAACGGUGGAGCAACUGGACAUGCUUAGUUGUCUGCUAGCAAGUGUGACAACAGUGAAGAAGACUCACCACGCGUUAGCUACAAUCCACCACAAUGAGAUUAAAGACAUCAUUACUCAAGGAACCAAAACAUAUCCUUUCAAUUGUGUGAAUGACAGAAAGAUACUACAACAGUGCUUUGACUUGAUUGUUGAUAUUUUCUGUUUAAAAAAUAUGGACAGUCAGCAAUCAUGAAUUAAAAAUAUAUUAUGAAGUUGUGC
ensembl:lncRNA